GAUGAACGCUGGCGGCGUGCCUAACACAUGCAAGUCGAGCGGAGCGGUCUUGAUGAAGUUUACGGAUGGAAUCAGGAUUGUCUUAGCGGCGGACGGGUGAGUAACACGUGGAUAACCUGCCUUAUACUGGGGGAUAACAGCCAGAAAUGGCUGCUAAUACCGCAUAAGCGCACGGCGCCGCAUGGCGCAGUGUGAAAAACUCCGGUGGUAUAAGAUGGAUCCGCGCCUGAUUAGCUAGUUGGCGGGGCAGCGGCCCACCAAGGCGACGAUCAGUAGCCGGCCUGAGAGGGCGACCGGCCACAUUGGGACUGAGACACGGCCCAA
rnacentral:rRNA from 1 species